rnacentral:rRNA from 1 species
AUUCCAAUCGAACUCGGAGAUAGCUGGUUCUCCCCGAAAUAGCUUUAGGGCUAGCCUCGAGGGAAGAUUACCGGGGGUAGAGCACUGAAUGGGCUAGGGGGCCACAAAGCUUACCGAACCCUAUCAAACUUCGAAUACCGGAUAAUAGAUACUCGGGAGUCAGACAGUGUGAGAUAAGUUUCAUUGUCGAGAGGGAAACAGCCCAGACCAACGAUUAAGGUCCCAAAAUUCAAGUUAAGUGGAAAAGGAUGUGCAGAUGCGCAGACAACCAGGAUGUUGGCUUAGAAGCAGCCACACAUUUAAAGAGUGCGUAAUAGCUCACUGGUCGAGUGAAUGUGCGCCGAAUAUGUACCGGGGCUAAACUUGAUACCGAAAUCUUGGCAGUUACGAAAGUAACUGGGUAGGGGAGCAACGAAUACGGGCAGAAGCAAGACCGGGAGGUCGUGUGGACUGUAUUGGAGAGAGAAUGCCGGCAUGAGUAGCGAAAGCUAAGUGAGAAUCUUAGCCGUCGAAAGCCUAAGGAUUCCUGAGGAAGGUUCGUCCACUCAGGGUAAGUCGGGACCUAAGCCGAGGACAGAAGUCGUAGGCGAUGGACAACAGGUUGAUAUUCCUGUACCGCCGAUAGCGAUUGAGCGAAGCAGUGACACGGAAGGAUAGACAAAGCGGGGAGAUGGAAACCCCCGUCCAAGCGAUAAGGGAGGCGAGUAGUGAAGUACGCUCGCUGAAAAUUCUGAGUCGUUAGGGGGACCGAAAAGCAAGUAGGGAAGUUGUUGAAUCCACGCCGGCGAGAAAAGCUGCUAGCGAGCGAAAAGGCGCCCGUACCGCAAACCGACACAGGUAGGCGAGGAGAGAAUCCUAAGACGAGCGGGAGAACCCUUGUUAAGGAACUCGGCAAAAUGACCCCGUAACUUCGGGAGAAGGGGUGCCUCGAGAGAGGCCGCAGAGAAUAGGCCCAAGCGACUGUUUACCAAAAACACAGGUCUGUGCGAAGUAGAGAUACGACGUAUACGGGCUGACGCCUGCCCAGUGCCGGAAGGUUAAGGGGAAGUGUUAGGUUUAGGCCGAAGCACGGAACUUAAGCCCCGGUGAACGGCGGCCGUAACUAUAACGGUCCUAAGGUAGCGAAAUUCCUUGUCGGGUAAGUUCCGACCCGCACGAAUGGCGUAACGACUUGGGCACUGUCUCAACAAGGGACCCGGCGAAAUUGUAGUAUGUGUGAAGAUGCACAUUACCCGCGAUAGGACGGAAAGACCCCGUAGAGCUUUACUGUAGUUUGACAUUGGAUUUUGGUAACACAUGCACAGGAUAGGUGGGAGGCAUGGAAGUUAGUACUCCGGUACUAAUGGAGCCAACGUUGGGAUACCACUCUUGUGUUACUGGAGUUCUAACGAGCGGCCGUAAACCGGCGUUCGGACAGUGUCAGAUGGGCAGUUUGACUGGGGCGGUCGCCUCCGAAAGAGUAACGGAGGCGUCCAAAGGUUCCCUCAGAAUGGUUGGAAACCAUUCGAAGAGUGCAAAGGCAGAAGGGAGCCUGACUGCGAGACCGACAGGUCGAGCAGGGAGGAAACUCGGGCUUAGUGAUCCGGCGGUAGAGAGUGGAAUUGCCGUCGCUCAACGGAUAAAAGCUACCUCGGGGAUAACAGGCUUAUCUCCCCCAAGAGUCCACAUCGACGGGGAGGUUUGGCACCUCGAUGUCGGCUCGUCGCAUCCUGGGGCUGGAGCAGGUCCCAAGGGUUUGGCUGUUCGCCAAUUAAAGCGGCACGCGAGCUGGGUUCAGAACGUCGUGAGACAGUUCGGUCCCUAUCCAUCGUGGGCGCAGGAGAUUUGAGAGGAGCUGUCCUCAGUACGAGAGGACCGGGAUGGACGCACCAAGGGUGAAUCGGUUGUCGCGCCAGCGGCACGGCCGGGUAGCCAAGUGCGGAACGGAUAAACGCUGAAGGCAUCUAAGCGUGAAGCCGACCUCAAGAUAAGAUCUCCUAUUCAGGAAUGAAGAGAGACCCCUUGAAGACUACAAGGUUGAUAGGUCGGAGGUGGAAGUACGGUAACGUAUGCAGCUGACCGAUACUAAUAGGUCGAAAGCUUGAUCA